GAUGAACGCUAGCGGCAGGCCUAACACAUGCAAGUCGAGGGGUAACAUAGGAAAGCUUGCUUUUCUGAUGACGACCGGCGCACGGGUGCGUAACGCGUAUACAACCUACCUUUUAGCGGGGAAUAGCCCAGGGAAACUUGGAUUAAUGCCCCAUAGUAUAUAGACUUCUCCUGAAGUUUAUAUUAAACAUUUAUGGCUAUUAGAUGGGUAUGCGUCCUAUUAGUUAGUUGGUAAGGUAACGGCUUACCAAGGCAGCGAUAGGUAGGGGUCCUGAGAGGGAGAUCCCCACACUGGUACUGAGACACGGACCAGACUCCUACGGGAGGCAGCAGUGAGGAAUAUUGGACAAUGGGCGAGAGCCCGAUCCAGCCAUGCCGCGUGCAGGAAGACUGCCCUAUGGGUUGUAAACUGCUUUUACAGAGGAAGAACCACCCCCACGUGUGGGGGUUUGACGGUACUCUGCGAAUAAGGAUCGGCUAACUCCGUG
rnacentral:rRNA from 1 species